rnacentral:rRNA from 1 species
AUUGAACGCUGGCGGCAGGCUUAACACAUGCAAGUCGAGCGGAGAUGAGGUGCUUGCACCUUAUCUUAGCGGCGGACGGGUGAGUAAUGCUUAGGAAUCUGCCUAUUAGUGGGGGACAACAUUCCGAAAGGAAUGCUAAUACCGCAUACGUCCUACGGGAGAAAGCAGGGGAUCUUCGGACAUUGCGCUAAUAGAUGAGCCUAAGUCGGAUUAGCUAGUUGGUGGGGUAAAGGCCUACCAAGGCGACGAUCUGUAGCGGGUGUGAGAGGAUGAUCCGCCACACUGGGACUGAGACACGGCACAGACUCCUGCGGGAGGCAGCAGUGGGGAAUAUUGGACAAUGGGGGGAACCCUGAUCCAGCCAUGCCGCGUGUGUGAAGAAGGCCUUAUGGUUGUAAAGCACUUUAAGCGAGGAGGAGGCUACUGAGACUAAUACUCUUGGAUAGUGGACGUUACUCGCAGAAUAAGCACCGGCUAACUCUGUGCCAGCCGCCGCGGUAA